AGUAGGUAUGUCCGUACAUACAUAAAUAUAAGUGUUCUACUACUAUUGUGUGUAUUUGUCUUCGUGUCCCUAUCCUCUGUUUUUUAUUUAGGAAUUCUUAUGUUUUGUAGUUAUAAUAAAAAUUAGUUUAUUUGAUAAUGAACUGAUCGACAAUCGAACGAAUGUACGUCAAGUAUUCCUUGUGACAAUGAGCUUAGUAUACAAGCAAAUUGCAUUGUGUAAGGCUUGAUUGGCUGUCACGGAAUAAAUUGCAGCAGCCGAAAAGUGAAAAUGUUCGUGGCCGAGUCCGUUAUCUUGUGUGAUGUAUGAGUACGAUAACGUAAGAAAGACUGAUGAAGAAGAAGAAGAUGGAAUUCUGAGUUAACUAUUUAGCUGGCUGUCUCGCAUACCGCGGCACGAUGGAUCCCUCAAUAUUUUUGCAAUAUACGCCCCCGAAUGGGCUUCCCCAAGAGUCGAAGUUGGCAACUUAUAUGAAUCGUUCUACGUCGACUCCCACCAGGUCUCUGAACCAAGCAUUAGGUAAGCUCAGCUUGGAGUCUUCCCCUACUGCCAUCAAAAAGGUUCUUAUUAGUGAAUUUGUGCCGGUCAACUAUUAUAGUCCCACAAACAUUCUCCCGGACUCCCCUGAGAGCUCGCCGCCAUCCACAUUGGCUGCUGUUCCCCCAAACACACAAGUGCAUCAGGAAAAUGUAGGAGGUACUACAUAUUUUUACUCUACCAAUUCAGACAGUCUGAGCACAUCAGGGGGACUGAAUUCUUCAUCAUCUAUUGGUGGGGCUGACACAUGUCUUGGCGCUGUAGGUCCGAGCGCGGCGGCUUCGCCGUACGCCUCUCAGAUCUAUGCUGGUACACCGACACACUUGGGACCUGGUCCGAUGACUUCUAAACCAGGUCUGGCCGCCUCGUUCUACAUGCCAGAGACAAUCAGAUCGGAGGUGUACCAGAGAAACGAGGAUGUGUUUCUGCAGACCGAUCUCCGUCAAUAUCCAGACUUACCAGAGAACGUAGAGAUGUACUCGGAACUGACGCCCCUGGAAUCGGCCGCGCCCCACACCAUGGCUACGUCAUUCCGCGCCACGCACCGUCAAAGCGGCGACCAUUACGCUUUACGACGUCUACACGCGUAUGGCGCCAUAGUCACCAAGCGACUCGAGAUGUGGAAGCAGAUUGACCAUCCCAAUGUCGUGAAACUACAUGAUUAUUUCACGACUAAGGCUUUUGGCGACCAUUCGAUGGUGCUAGUUUACGACUAUCAUCCCGCGUGCGUGACCCUAAUGAACAAGUACCUUGCCGGUGGAGCCACCAACCCGGUGCAAGAUGCCAACGGAGCCUUCCACGACCCCUUUUCUUCGGACCCAGACGCCCCACGACCGUACACUCAUCAGAAAAACGCGAUGCUUCGAGCGGUCGCGUGUGGCGCCUUGCUGCCGGAAGCGGUGUUGUGGAGUCUUUUGGUACAACUCACGGCCGCGCUAAGAUCCAUACACUCAGCCGGCCUCGCUUGCAGAACUCUGGACCCGACUAAAGUGGUGAUGAAUGGGUGUCGAGUCAGAGUUGCGUGGAGCGGAUGCGCGGACGCACUGCAUACUAACGCCAAUGAUGUUCAACAGGCUCAACAAGAAGACUUGACGGCGCUGGGCAGGCUGGCGUUGGCUCUGGCGUGCCGCACCAUACACUGCGACAAUCUCUCCGCUUGCAUGGACCUCGUUGCGAGAACUUACUCCGCCGAUCUCAAGAACCUUAUACUGUAUGGGUUUUUGUUUUAUUUUCUAUUGGUGGAAGUCUUUGGAAGGAUUUUUAAGUUUGGUAUUUGUAACAAACAUGUCUUUCUCUUCACACAUACAAAAUAUGGGGUGGGGUGUCAAAUUUAGUUGGCGACUGUGGGCUCAUGUUUUCAUACAAAGUACAACAAAAAAGUUUUAUAAUAACCUUAACAUUUAAAAAUAUAAUAUGUGAUUUCUCGAAACGGGAGCGAAGAUUCGUGCUCGACUGCCACAAGACACCCGAAGAUGUCCGGUUAUGAAUUCCAUUUUCUUACAUAACUGUUUUUGACAUUAUUUCAUGCAAAUCCAAUAUAUCGUAUCGUAUAGAUAUGAAUGAAAAAGUAAUUUGCUUGAAAACUUGAGAUAACGUGGGAGACUUCACCAAACCAUUAAUUUGAAGAAAAAAAAUAAUAGGAAUUUUACGUGAACGGAUGAAAUUUCGUGUGUUUUACAUGAUAGCUAUGAUCUGGUAUGUUAUUGUACAAUUUUCGUAUUCUCACUUGAUUUCUUUUGUCCCUAUGUUUGUAUAAAAAUGUCUAUCUUAUAUACCCGUAUGUAAAAAGAUAAACGUAAUUUUUUAUUUGGCGAAAGUAUAAGCUGAUAAUUUUGAGAAAAAAUGUAAUCUAUGUACUAUAGUAGUGAUAAGUACUGUUGAUUAUUCUAUCAACAUAACGCUUUCUUAUAGCAUCUCAAUUCUGAGAUUUAUUUGUCAGCUCUUUUUAACUGCGCAGAAAAUUCAUGCCAUGCAUUUUCCCUUUAGUUUCAAGUACUGUAAUUUCUUUUCUCCUGUUUGACAAUCUAGAUAUUUGUUGUCUACGUCAGCGGCGCGACGGUCGGUCACAGAUCUCAUGCCUAUGAUUGGAGCGAGAUUUUAUACGCAGGUGGAGGCUCUAGAACGGCG
rnacentral:misc_RNA from 1 species